AGUGGGAGCGGGCUUGCUCGCGAUACGAACAACGCGGUCCUGUUAAAGACCGCGUUGCUGCUAUCGCGGGCAAGCCCGCUCCCACA
rnacentral:antisense_RNA from 1 species